GACGAACGCUGGCGGCGUGCCUAACACAUGCAAGUCGAACGGUUCUUUCCUGCUGAGUUCUUGCACUCGAGUGGAAAGCGGAGGAGCGGACGGGUGAGUAACACGCGGGUACUGUACACAGUCGAGAGGGAUAAGACACUGAAACAGGAGCUAAUAACGCACAACAGUGUAGGCUUCGGGGCAUAAGAGUGAAAGGGGCUCUAGGGUGGCGUUGAUAGAUGGUGGUGCGGAGCAUUAGCUAGUUGGUGAGGUAACGGUUGACCAGGGGGACGAUGCGUAGCCGACCUGAGAGAGUGAUAGGCGCCACUGGAACUGGGACACGGCCCAGACUCCUACGGGAGGCAGCAGUAGGGAAUGUUGGGCAAUGGGCGAAAGUCUGAUCCAGCAAUGCCGCGUGUGUGAAGAAGGUUUUCGGAUCGUAAAGCUCUGUUGUUAGGGAGGAACAGCGGCAUUAGUAGCUGAAGGUCCACUGACGGUAUCUAAAGAAUAAGCAACGGCUAACUACGUG
rnacentral:rRNA from 1 species